UGCGAACUGUUCAGGAAUCAGUGCUCACUUCAUCUCCUUCCCAUCCUCCUGGUAGUUUUAUAUUUUGGGUGUGCUUUAUCACGCACGCCACGUGUCAGUGCAGCAGUGCCUGCGUGUGGUUUAUAAAUAACUCCGUGUACACUGGGGACACGCUCGCUCAGGGGUGUUUUACUGUCAGGGGCCCGCCGAGGCCUCUCCCGGCCACACUUAAGGAUCUGGAGCAUUAAAUAACAUUAAGAAUUAACAGACGCCAAAGGAGUCGCAUUCCUUUUUCCGCGGGAAGGAGGUCAGCGCCGGCGGCGUGGGUGUCGCAGCAGCUUCUCCAGUUAUCCUUUCCUGCAGUAACCAAAACUGAGGUCACUGUGAAGCUUUAGCCCUGAUGAUUGACAAGAAAGCCACCUAAAGCGACCUGGCACCUAAAUUGCCUGAUGAGGAAAAUCCCCCUGCUCCCACCGCGUAUUGGCGUUUCGGCUCCAGAUAAUAUUUUAUGUGCAUUAUACCUAGCGCAGCUGAGGGAACCUUGUCGGCACGGCGUGAAUUCGUCCACCUUUACUCAGCGUUCAGGCGGAGAGCGGCUUCCCACCCCUGUGCAUGGGUUGGUGCUGCCGCUCGGGAAUGGUUUGCUCUCUCCGCGGCUCAGCCAGCACUGCAUCAGAUUGUUUGGGAAGUCAGCGGGGCUGCCGGGCACCAGGAUAAAGUUCUUGGAAAGGCGUCAUUGCGAGAGGACUGACAGUGCACACAGGAACCACAGUUACAGCCAGUCAUUGAUUCCCUUUCUGCUUAAGUGCCAUAAAACAUUUCCAGAAAUGGAAGGAGAAAAAGAGCAAAGUGCUAAAGCUACCAGUGCAGUGGGUGACCUGAGGAAAAGUUGGCAGACCUGGGCAGAGGAUCACAUUGAGUAUCAGAGGAAGAAUCCGUUCAGCAGCGAUGACAGGCUUGCGUCUGGACCUGCACACACUCACAGAGGAGAUCCCACCUACGGGAGACCCCCGGAAGGCUCUCGGACAGAGCAGAGAGGGAGAGAUGCUCACUCACACGUGGGUAGGGAAGUAGAAGAGCUGUGCUCGAUCAUCAGAAGAACUGGAAAGGUGGGAGAAGAUGGACACGUGACAGUGACAUUCGGGCAGCUGUUUGAAACAUACGUGACUAUUUCCAAUAAAGUAGUGGGAAUCUUGUUAAGAGCCAGAAAACACGGUCUGGUGCACUUUGAAGGUGAAAUGCUUUGGCAAGGAAACGAUGAUGAUGUGGUCAUCACUUUACUACAAUAAGGCUUUGUCCUGGAAUGAACUUUGCUGCACGGUUCCAUUUGGAAAAACAUAACGAGAUACCAUCUUCACAGGUUUUGGUUACAGAAUUUCAACUCAGCUACCUACUGGGACACAAGCAGGAGAGGAAAUAGGCAAGAAGGAUAUUUUUGUAAAAAUGGCAGAGAUUUGGACGGAAAUUGCAGAUUAUGAGCAACUCCAUCACGCUGACAUUAGAUUGUCCUUAUCAUCUACUAGCAAGUAUAUGAGAGUUCUUUAAAUGACUGUGCUGGCCUACUGCUUUUAGGUUACUGAAAGUAUAGAUUACUAACUGGCUAUCCUACACCACUGAUUCCUGCAGGUUGUGAAAUACUUACUGUGUGGGAGGAUGGGAUUUGUAAAACAUGGAAUUGAAAACUCUUGUGGGAAUUCACAUACUUCUUCAAACAAAGAGCCUGGUAUAUAUAGCAAAAUUUUAGGUUCAAUCUCACAUGGUUAAGCUGAAUAAAUGGAAGUUAUUUUCAUGAAGUAGAUAGAAAUUCCCAAGCUUACAAAAAUAUCACAGCAAGGAUACUUGAUGGUUCUUAAAUUAGUUGCAUCUUGCUUGGAUUUUGGACAGCUGCACUGGUUGUGGUAUUUAACAGUCUAAUCUUAUAGUCAUAUCUUCUCCAAACCUUCUGUGUAUCUUGUUCUUUUUGUUUUUUAUCUCACACAAUUUUUUUUCCUGUUCUUCUAAUGCUUCAGAAGAAGUCCACAAAGCUCUGCAGCCAUUUCGGUGAAUUCAGCUAUACCCCUUCAGAGAAGGUAGGGUGCCACAAUGUAAAGAUGCAAAAGUCAGCAGAAACUCUGUAUUUGGGCAUCUGUGCAUUCAUAAGGAAAAAAACCCCUCUUAUUUCACCAAAAUGUAGCAAUGUUUUUUACAAGAGGAGAGUAGAGAUACUGUAGUACCAAAUGCAUAAAUGAAAGUAUAGCAGCAGUCCCACAGCUCAGUUGUCUGAAAGCACAACUGUGCUUUCAGAGCACAGUUGUGAGCUCUUCAGAAAGAAAAAUAAAGGAUUGGUUAUAUAACAUAGUUGUAAUAGUGCUAUGAAAAAUAAUCAGGAGCUGUAUUUACAAUAGUUACCACCAAUAAAACUAUAUAAUUAGAAAUCUAAAGUUAUAUUUUUUAGCAGUGCAAAUAGAAGCUUCUGUGUGGUGUUAACUACACUACUUGAUGGGUCUUUAAAGUAAGAUACUGUUCUUGCAUCAAAAGAAUAUUAAAAUUUAAUAUAAAUUAGGAACUUGGUAAAAGUGAUGUGUAAUUUUAUGCUAUUUAUAUAAAAGAACUUCUGUUGCAAAAAGCCUAAAAGAAUGGGGUUUUGUUUUGAUGUUUUCAUCCAGUGGGGAUUUGCACCAAACUAAGUCUUUGGCUGAGGAUUUCAUUAUUUUCCUCCCUCCUUUUUUGUUUUUCUGGUGAAAGGACAAUGAAAAGAGAGGGGAAAAAAGGGAAUAAAUUAAUGUGCUGAAAUAAGUAUAUCUGGGGAACAGGGCAGUCAGAUGCAGGUAGAGAAUGGAUUUUAACCACCACAUCAUUUUAACACACUGGAAAAGGGGGAAUAUGUGCUGCACCAGGCACUGUUGGUGUGCUCCCUUAGCUUUCAAACCUACUGCUUCUUUCUAAACAGAUCUACACCUUGCAGCUGAAAAAGAAGUAGAUGUAGUUUGUUAGCUUAACAUACUUAAAAUGUUCUUUUUGAAAAAGCAUUUCUUGCCAAAUGACAUGAGCACAACCUCAUUUUUCCGCUCCUAUUAGAGGAAGUCUUUACAUGCAUUCAGAUUUCAAUGCAAAUUAAACAUUUUAUAGUGCAGCUGUGGAAUGAGUUUUGUUUAAUUCUAACAAUUCUGAAAUCCACUCAGUUCUGCUGUAGUGUUAGUUCACAACUUGCAGGAAGCAGCAUCAGGCACUUCAAGUGUCAUCAGCUGAUUAAUGGGAUGCGAUAAGGAAAAACAACACGUUGCUGGACAUUGUACAAAUAAUUCAUUGCAAGACACACACGUGAGGCAGUAUGUAGCCUGAGCACCGCAAGAUGCAAGUCCAGCUCACAUAAAUUUACUACUUUUUAAUUAAGGCUGGCUCAAAUAGUUAAAUAUCAGCAAUCUAGGCUGUCACUGCCAUGUAAGUGGUAGAUGCUUGAGCACAACUACAAGCACUUUUAAAGUACACCUCUGAUCAAAACAGAAGCAGAGCAAACCCUUAAUGACAUGGUCUUACCUACUUUGUAAGCGACUAAAAAAAGUUUGCUCUAUUAUUAUAUUUUUAAUAGAACCAAGGAUUACUAUAUAACAAAACUAUUAUUUAUAGAGGGAUUUUUUUAAACAAUUACAGAGCCAACCUGCCAGCUUUAGAUGAGCAUUCUGGAAAACGUGACUGAAAUCUUUCUGUGUGCCCAUGCAAUGAUUAUAAACACUGAGCUGCCAAACUGGCUCAGCACACAGGUUGACAAAUCCAUCUUGUGCUUCCAGCAAUAGCAUUUCAAAAAAAUACUAAAAGAUAGAUAAUAGAAAUGGUCAGCUUGCCCACUGGUACACUCUAGAAUAAAAAAUUACUCCUGAAGCCUGUUUAGUAAUGAAUGUAUUAUAUCUAAUGCACAUGACUCAGUUCAGCUACAAGUUUUACAAAAAUAUGCUUCAUCUGUGAUUAAAUAAACAUCUACAGAUGAAAUAGGAAUUUAAACUUUUCAACAGGGCAACUUGGUUUUUUUCAGCAGGCUCCCAUUAGAGUAAAUGGAACAGAAUUUAUUAAAUUGUUUUUGCAAAAAUUGUAGCACGUAAGGGGUUUUAGUAUUACAGAUUUGGAGUAGUAAGUAAACCCCAACCUUUUUAAAAGGUGUUCUUGCCCUAAUAAGCAUCUUUUAGCUGUUUAAAUCUCUCCUAAACUUCACUUUGUGACAUAUUACCUCAGUGGUCUUUGCCCUCCUUCCACUUGAAGUCUGUAAACUCUGCAUGUGUUUUGGACUGUAUAUCAUAUACAAGACUAUCUGUGGUUCAUUUUGUUAAACACUGAAGGCACUGUCACCAUUUCAAUAAAUGUUGCACAUUAGUUUGAAAUGGCAAGAGUUUUUAUGCAGCAUUUAAUUGUUUACAAGUUUCUCACAUUUCAAAUACAAUUUUCAUUGGUUUGCUCUCA